UGAAGGAGGAGCUUGCUCUUCUGGAUGAGUUGCGAACGGGUGAGUAACGCGUAGGUAACCUGCCCGGUAGCGGGGGAUAACUAUUGGAAACGAUAGCUAAUACCGCAUAAUAGUAGAUGUUGCAUGACAUUUACUUAAAAGGUGCAAUUGCAUCACUACCAGAUGGACCUGCGUUGUAUUAGCUAGUUGGUGGGGUAACGGCUCACCAAGGCGACGAUACAUAGCCGACCUGAGAGGGUGAUCGGCCACACUGGGACUGAGACACGGCCCAGACUCCUACGGGAGGCAGCAGUAGGGAAUCUUCGGCAAUGGACGGAAGUCUGACCGAGCAACGCCGCGUGAGUGAAGAAGGUUUUCGGAUCGUAAAGCUCUGUUGUAAGAGAAGAACGAGUGUGAGAGUGGAAAGUUCACACUGUGACGGUAUCUUACCAGAAAGGGACGGCUAACUACGUGCCAGCAGCCGCGGUAAUACGUAGGUCCCGAGCGUUGUCCGGAUUUAUUGGGCGUAAAGCGAGCGCAGGCGGUUAGAUAAGUCUGAAGUUAAAGGCUGUGGCUUAACCAUAGUACGCUUUGGAAACUGUUUAACUUGAGUGCAAGAGGGGAGAGUGGAAUUCCAUGUGUAGCGGUGAAAUGCGUAGAUAUAUGGAGGAACACCGGUGGCGAAAGCGGCUCUCUGGCUUGUAACUGACGCUGAGGCUCGAAAGCGUGGGGAGCAAACAGGAUUAGAUANCCUGGUAGUCCACGCCGUAAACGAUGAGUGCUAGGUGUUAGACCCU
rnacentral:rRNA from 1 species